AACGAACGUUGGCGGCGUGGAUUAGGCAUGCAAGUCGAAUGAAUCCCACCUGGGUAACUGGGUGGGGGAAAUGGCGAAAGGGGCAGUAAGGCAUGGGCAACCUACCCCGGGGACGGGCAUAGCCGUCCUAACGGACGGGUAAUUCCCGGCGAUUCAGUUUGGGGGCAUCUCCGGACUGGGAAACGAGUUUCGCCUCGGGAGGGGCUCAUGUAGUAUUAGCUAGUUGGUGAGGUAACGGCUCACCAAGGCGAAGAUGCAGCGGGUGUGAGAGCACGACCCGCGCCACUGGCACUGAGACACUGGCCAGACUCCUACGGGAGGCUGCAGUCGAGGAUCUUCGGCAAUGGGCGCAAGCCUGACCGAGCGACGCCGCGUGUGCG
rnacentral:rRNA from 1 species